UUUACAAUCAAAUGACCGAAGGUAAGGACAACAGGACGUGAGUCCCUAAUUAAGUCCCACCAAAAACGUACAUUACAUAAUUACUUAUAGGUAUUACAAGAAUACAUAUUAUAUACAUAAACAAUAGGACAUACAACAAUUAUAAUUACAUCUAUGAACAACAGAUUGUAUGUAAAGAACGACAUUUACUGCAUACAGUUUUCCAUGUUCUAGGACGGUCUACAUCAAAAGUACUAUUCAGCUUUCUAGUGUAAUAUAUAUAUAGUUUAGAUUUAAGUAUGGCGACUGACGAAGAUGAUUUGAUAUCAGACGGUAAAUUGUUCCAUAAAAAUACAAUUCUGUUAAAGUAUGAGUUUCGGAAGAGGGAAGUUUUGCACAGGUUUGGACGAAAAUCACCAGAACUGGAACGAGUGGAGUGGUGAAGUGGUUGGGUUAUAUACUGAUUGAUGCCAAUUUCGGACAUCCCGUAUUUACAUUUGUAGAGGAAUAUAAUGUCUUUAAUUUCAUGCCAGUAUGAAAGGGGGAUUAGAUUUAGUUUU